rnacentral:lncRNA from 1 species
CCCCACCUCCAAAUACCACCACACUGGGGGCUAGGAUUUCAACAAAUGAAUUUUGAGGGGAACACAAACAUUCAGUCCCUGACAAUUACAUUCUUUGUAUUUCUUAUGCUUUAUUAUAUAUGAGUAUUGUGACUAAUAUUUGAGAAUUUUCUCAAAGUGCCAAGGGACCUCAAAGCAGGGAUACUGAUGCUGCUGGUCUGGGGACCACACCCUGAGAACCAUGGGACUAGAGCAUCAGAUGCAUAAAGAUCAGCUUGAGUCAAGGCUCACUGAGUUGGCUCAUGGGAGUCUGCAAGGAUCUUGUCUUAUGAAGAACAUACUUCGGAGGUAUCUGCCCAGCCCCCGCCCCUCGCCUCUUCUUUAGGAUUGUCCCCC